rnacentral:snRNA from 1 species
GAAUGUUCUAUACAGACUUGCAUCAUUUUGAUCACCAGGAUUGAUUUGGCAGAUUUGUUUGGCUAGGCUGGUGCCUCCUUCCUCCUUCACUGCUUCAUGUGUGUAUUCCAAAGUUGCAUGCACAGUCAUUCAGUCAAAGAGGACAGCUUUCCCCAACAGAGGAACACUGUUUCCUCAGUUAAGGGUGUAUGAGUAGCUGUGCUCCCCUGCCAGAACCUCCCAGACAGGCCCUCAAGAAUUGCCCUUAAUACUCUACUUACAAAGAUAUAGGCCUUUUCCAGCUUAU